rnacentral:lncRNA from 1 species
UACUGUUACAAACAGUCUAGAAGGAAAAACUCCUUUAUGUUCUAAUACAUUUUAAUCACAAUAAGCAUGUUGAGUUUUUCUUCUUACUUCUACGAGAAAUGAUCCAGUCUUCGCAAAGCUUUCUUCCAGUGUUUAAGAGAGUUUCCCUGAAUGUGCACAUGAAUCGCUAUCUCUUUACAUGUAUCCUUUACAGCUGAAAUCCUGUCUUGGAAUCUAAUCUUAUUCCUUUCCCGCCACAGACAGUACACUAACA